rnacentral:rRNA from 1 species
CGUAACACGUAUGUAACCUACCUUUAUCAGGGGGGAUAGCCUCUCGAAAGAGAGAUUAAGACCGCAUAAUAUUGUUGAGUAGCAUUAUUUAACAAUCAAAUAUUUAUAGGAUAAAGAUGGGCAUGCGGAACAUUAGCUAGAUGGCGGGGUAACGGCCCACCAUGGCUACGAUGUUUAGGGGAUCUGAGAGGAUGACCCCCCACACUGGUACUGAGACACGGACCAG